rnacentral:rRNA from 1 species
UACGUAGGGGGCAAGCGUUGUCCGGAAUCAUUGGGCGUAAAGAGCGUGUAGGCGGCCCGAUAAGUCCGCUGUGAAAGUCCAGGGCUCAACCCUGGAAUGCCGGUGGACACUGUCGGGCUCGAAUCCGGAAGAGGUGAGUGGAAUUCCUGGUGUAGCGGUGAAAUGCGCAGAUAUCAGGAGGAACACCGGUGGCGAAGGCGGGUCUCUGGGCCGUAACUGACGCUGAGGAGCGAAAGCAUGGGGAGCAAACAGG